UUUAGGCUGAUGAUAUCAUCGGACAUUGUUAAUUUCUGAAACGGAUUUUUUUGCGGCGUGGAUAUUCUAGUCGGCAUGAGCUUACGAUCAACAUUAAAAAUUUCAAAAAUCAUUGGACGGGCCUGAGCAUUUACUUAUUUCGAAGAACGGUCUGCAGCGUCUCUUCGGGGGCAGAAACCGGAAGAUGCGCAGGUCGCCAGCAGGAUGAACCCGGCACCGAAGGCGAGGAGGGGCCACUGUAUAUUCGCCACCUGGCCGUGCUGGAGAUCUCUCACGAUUUGGCUGACAACACCGAUCAAGCUGCCGCUCAGCACGCCCAACAGCGCGUAGUUGUAGUGGCGGAAGGCGUACAACACGGGAAACUGCUUGGCUUCCUGCAUCUCUACGACCGACAGGGCUUCGGUCGGGUCGGCGGGGGCUUGGAAGCCGCCGAUGGACUUUAUGGCGUGGACACGAUAGGCGCUUAGUGCGCUAACGAAGAGCGUCAGGAUAAGAACGCCGCCGAUGAGGUACAGGCUGAUGGGAACGGAUGCCAUGGCUAAAAAGCACAGAGCUGUUAAGGGAUUUAGGCAGGUAUACAGUACAUAGCAUGAGGAUCGUGUACAUCCACGAAAGCUUUCGCCUUUCCCAAACACUUAUUUGCAUUGCUUUAUGACAUUUGGUAGCCAAAUUACUUGUACCCGUAUGCAGAGUACAUGGGCCGAUGAUGGGCGUGAAAACCGUUUGUGCGCGCAACUUUCGGUUCGGGAGUUAUGGCUGCCAACAAAAAUUCCAAAAGUUAUAUUAUAUGCACUCAGGUGUACCAAAAGUCUCAUUAUCAACCGACCUUCUUCAAAUUUUGCACAUACAUAAAUGCACGUAAGUGUAAAGAUCGUUUUUCAUCAAACCAGAGUUCGAGA